rnacentral:rRNA from 1 species
UACGUAGGCAGCAAGCGUUGUUCGGAGUUACUGGGCGUAAAGAGUGCGUAGGUGGUGCCCUAAGUCUGUUGUGAAAUCUCCCGGCUUAACUGGGAGGGUGCGGUGGAAACUGGGGUGCUUGAGUGUGGGAGAGGUAAGCGGAAUUCCUGGUGUAGCGGUGAAAUGCGUAGAUAUCAGGAAGAACACCCGUGGAGAAGGCGGCUCUCUGGGACGGUACUGACGCUGAGACGCGAAAGCGUGGGGAGCGAACAGG